rnacentral:rRNA from 1 species
UGAGGAAUAUUGGUCAAUGGGUGCAAGCCUGAACCAGCCAUCCCGCGUGAAGGACGACUGCCCUAUGGGUUGUAAACUUCUUUUGUAUAGGGAUAAACCUACCCUCGUGAGGGUAGCUGAAGGUACUAUACGAAUAAGCACCGGCUAACUCCGUGCCAGCAGCCGCGGUAAUACGGAGGGUGCAAGCGUUAUCCGGAUUUAUUGGGUUUAAAGGGUACGUAGGCGGACUUAUAAGUCAGUGGUGAAAGCCUGUCGCUUAACGAUAGAACUGCCAUUGAUACUGUAAGUCUUGAGUAUAUUUGAGGUAGCUGGAAUAAGUAGUGUAGCGGUGAAAUGCAUAGAUAUUACUUAGAACACCAAUUGCGAAGGCAGGUUACCAAGAUAUAACUGACGCUGAGGGACGAAAGCGUGGGGAGCGAACA